GGGGAAUUUUCCGCAAUGGGCGAAAGCCUGACGGAGCAAUACCGCGUGAGGGAUGACUGCCUAUGGGUUGUAAACCUCUUUUUUCAGGGAGGAACAAAAUGACGUGUACCCUGAAGAAUAAGCAUCGGCUAACUCCGUGCCAGCAGCCGCGGUAAGANCGGAGGAUGCAAGUGUUAUCCGGAAUCACUGGGCGUAAAGCGUCUGUAGGUGGUUUAAUAAGUCAACUGUUAAAUCUUGAGGCUCAACUUCAAAAUCGCAGUCGAAACUAUUAGANCUAGAGUAUAGUAGGGGUAAAGGGAAUUUCCAGUGGAGCGGUGAAAUGCGUAGAGAUUGGAAAGAACACCGAUGGCGAAGGCACUUUACUGGGCUAUAACUAACACUCAGAGACGAAAGCUAGGGUAGCAAAUGGGAUUAGAUACCCCAGUAGUC
rnacentral:rRNA from 1 species